AUUGAACGCUGGCGGCAUGCUUUACAUAUGCAAGUCGAACGGCAGCGCGGGCUUCGGCCUGGCGGCGAGUGGCGAACGGGUGAGUAAUGCAUCGGAACGUGCCCAGUAGUGGGGGAUAGCCCGGCGAAAGCCGGAUUAAUACCGCAUACGACCUGAGGGUGAAAGCGGGGGACCGAAAGGCCUCGCGCUAUUGGAGCGGCCGAUGUCGGAUUAGCUAGUUGGUGGGGUAAAGGCUUACCAAGGCGACGAUCCGUAGCUGGUCUGAGAGGACGACCAGCCACACUGGGACUGAGACACGGCCCAGACUCCUACGGGAGGCAGCAGUGGGGAAUUUUGGACAAAGGGGGCAACCCUGAUCCAGCCAUGCCGCGUGCGAGAAGAAGGCCUUCGGGUUGUAAACCGCUUUUGUUCGGGAAGAAAUCCUCUGGGCUAAUACCCCGGGGGGAUGACGGUACCGGAAGAAUAAGCACCGGCUAACUACGUG
rnacentral:rRNA from 1 species